GCGGCUAUAGUUCAGUGGUUAGAACGUCGGCUUGUGGUGCCGAAUGUCGUCGGUUCGACUCCGACUAGCCGCCCCA
rnacentral:tRNA from 1 species